GUGCUCGCUUCAACACAUAUACAAAAAUUGGAAUGAUACGGAGAAGAUUAGCAUGGCCCCUGUGAAAGGAUGACAGGAAAAUUCGUGAAGCAUUCCAUAUUUUU